rnacentral:lncRNA from 1 species
AAUUCUCCGUUCUCUUGCAAGAUAGAUCCUAGGUAGCGAAAACGGUCGCUUUUUGUGAUUUUCGCUAGAUUGCUCCGGUCAUUAGUGUGGAUAAGUAUAUAAAUGGAUAGAGAUAGGAAAGCAAACACAAGAUGUACGUGGUUCACCCAUAUUGGCUACGUCCACGAAAUAGAAGAGUUCUCAUUAAUUGUGAAGGGUUUACACAAGUACAUAGGUUCAAGCUCUCCUUUAGUGAGUAC